UUAGGUAUAGUUCAGUGAUAAAGCACAUGCUUAGCAUGCAUAAGGUCCUGGGUUCAAUUCCCAGUAAUUACA
rnacentral:tRNA from 1 species